rnacentral:rRNA from 1 species
AUGAUUAGAGGGCCAGUGACUUGCAAGAAAUGUGGCGAAAUGGGUCAUAGGCAAGCUAGUUACAAGUGUCCACUCAAUGGAACCAAAAAAAGGAAGAGGAAGCCUAGAAAGAACAGUACAAAAGCUAGGCCAGCUGAACCUAGCACCCCACAAAGACCUACUAGAGAACAAAUAUUGCGGGACAGUCCAAGCAUGGUCACUAGAAGCCGCCUUGCUAUCUUGUUGGGAGAGGGUAGUUCUUCACAAACCACUAGAACUACCCCAGAGAGGAUGCCAACAGCAGCUCCACCAAAGAAGAUGACCCCAAGGAGGAUGCCAACAGCAGCUCCACCGAAGAAGAUGACUCCAAAGAGGAAGCUACCAGUUGGAUGA